UACACUCCUGCGGGAGGCAGCAGUGGGGAAUAUUGGACAAUGGGCGCAAGCCUGAUCCAGCCAUGCCGCGUGAGUGAUGAAGGCCCUAGGGUUGUAAAGCUCUUUCACCGGAGAAGAUAAUGACGGUAUCCGGAGAAGAAGCCCCGGCUAACUUCGUGCCAGCAGCCGCGGUAAUACGAAGGGGGCUAGCGUUGUUCGGAAUUACUGGGCGUAAAGCGCACGUAGGCGGAUCGAUCAGUCAGGGGUGAAAUCCCAGGGCUCAACCCUGGAACUGCCUUUGAUACUGUCGAUCUGGAGUAUGGAAGAGGUGAGUGGAAUUCCGGGUGUAGAGGUGAAAUUCGUAGAUAUUCGGAGGAACACCAGUGGCGAAGGCGGCUCACUGGUCCAUUACUGACGCUGAGGUGCGAAAGCGUGGGGAGCAAACAGGAUUAGAAACCCUUGUAGUCCCAU
rnacentral:rRNA from 1 species